GAUGAACGCUGGCGGCGUGCCUAAUACAUGCAAGUCGAUCGAACAGAUGAGGAGCUUGCUCCUCUGACGUUAGCGGCGGACGGGUGAUUAACACGUGUAUAACCUACCUAUAAGACUGGGAUAACUUCGGGAAACCGGAGCUAAUACCGGAUAAUAUAUUGAACCGCAUGGUUCAAUAGUGAAAGACGGUUUUGCUGUCACUUAUAGAUGGAUCCGCGCCGCAUUAGCUAGUUGGUAAGGUAACGGCUUACCAAGGCAACGAUGCGUAGCCGACCUGAGAGGGUGAUCGGCCACACUGCAACUCAGACACGCUCCAGACUACUACGGGAGGACGCAGCACGGACUCUAACGCAAUGAGAGAAAGAGUGACGGCGCACAGCCGCGUCAGCGAGGAAGGUCUUCGCAUCCUACAAGUCUGUUAUUAGGGAUGAAGGAAUGUCUACGUAGCUACACACGCAUUGACGGUACCAAGUCAGCAAACCACGACUAACCACGUA
rnacentral:rRNA from 1 species